rnacentral:lncRNA from 1 species
AUAACGAUGAAGCUGCGCCUUGCUCCUUCUUGGCCAUUUAUGGAGGGCGUGUUGAACCCACUCCACUCACCCACAGUUCCCUGAUGUGAGCACACUGUGAUAUAGAGAUCCCUGCUCUCAUGACGCUGAUGUUCCAGAGGAAGCAGGCAGUCAACUAGCAUAUUAACAAUGAGAUCAUUUCAACUAGAAACAAUUCUAAUCUGAGGUCCACAGACUAGACCACGGAGAAGACAGGAGUUACACGGCGGGUAUGAGGACAAGCCAUGCUUGAGGGGAGGAGGGAAGAGCAGUGGCAAUGAGUGAAGUUGCUGCCCUAAGUUCUAAGGAAACCUUCUCCCACCGAGACUCCGAGAAGACUCCUCGCUCUCGUGUCACACCUUGAAUCAGAAACGGUUGAUAAAUAGGACAAGAAAUCGGAGACUUCCUGCUCUCUGUGUGAUGAAUAAAAAUGAAAUAGGAAAAAAUUCAGCAUGAUCUGAGCAAACAAAUGCCUCUUACUUAUCAAAAGUCCAAAAUCACAGGCUUUCCAUCAGAUCUCUACUGGCUCCUUAUAUCCCGAUAUUCCUAUUCGGAUGUUUGUCUCUCUUAAGAGCCUCUAUACCACUAGGGCAAUUUUUCCAGGGAAAGGAUCCAGAGGACCUGAGAGAUGCAAGAGCCAUGAGGAUGAGGAGGAAAGUGACUGGGAGGGCUCCUGCUCUUGUUCUUGCUCUUUCCACUUAGGCAAGGUAAUACUGAGGAGGGGGCCACCCAGUUGACCUUGCGCUGAUGCAGAGUUGCUCCCACCAUUUCUGUUCCAGCCUAGGGUUAUUCACAUGGAGUUUCUGUCCAGUGCUGACCAACCAGCGUUCACUAGAACUUGGAGCAAGAGCCAUUGACACCACGGCAAUGCACAGCCACGUGCAUGCGGUCCAAGGUGUCAGCAGCAACUUCGGGCAGAAUGGCUCACUCCUGUGUCCUAAGACCAUAUCUGCAUUCUCUCUCUCGGCAGUAGGAACUCCAUACAAGCUUCCUGACCCUCGCUGCCCCGGUGGACUGGACGAUGAACUGACAUUUUCCAAACAGCCUUUGCUCCACCCUUGAUUAGAAAGUAUCUUUAAUUAAAACACCACAUCAGAAUUCUGAACCAAUUUCAUCCUGGCUCUCCUAAGUGCUUUGUACAAAACAUUAACUCUGGAAUCUCAUUAUACAUUUGCAACCCCUGUGACAAACAUAAAUGAUAAUUUAGCUCUAAUGCCUUCUUGAGCAAGUCAUAUUUCUAAAAGCUCAUGGAUAAUGGUAACUUACUGAGGGGAAUGUGUUAAUGUUGGAUUUAUCUGUCUCUUUACUUUUUAAACAAAGAAUUAGGGCUGGGAUGGUGGUGGGCUAAACAA